rnacentral:rRNA from 1 species
GACGAACGCUGGCGGCGUGCUUAACACAUGCAAGUCGAACGGAAAGGCUCCAGCUUGCUGGAGUACUCGAGUGGCGAACGGGUGAGUAACACGUGGGUAAUCUGCCCUGCACUCUGGGAUAAGCCUGGGAAACUGGGUCUAAUACUGGAUAUGACCUUUCUCCUUAUGGGGUUUGGUGGAAAGUUUUUCGGUGUAGGAUGAGCCCGCGGCCUAUCGGCUUGUUGGUGGGGUGAUGGCUUACCAAGGCGACGACGGGUAGCCGGCCUGAGAGGGUGAUCGGCCACAUUGGGACUGAGAUACGGCCCAGACUCCUACGGGAGGCAGCAGUGGGGAAUAUUGCACAAUGGGCGGAAGCCUGAUGCAGCGACGCCGCGUGAGGGAUGACGGCCUUCGGGUUGUAAACCUCUUUCAGCAGGGACGAAGCGUAAGUGACGGUACCUGCAGAAGAAGCACCGGCUAACUAUGUG